UGUUGUUAAUGUAAGUUGACGUCUGUCAAUAGAUCUAAUCAAUCUUGCUCUUUUAUGUGUAAGACUGAAAUUAUAAUAAAUUGUUUGUACUGAAAAUCAUAUCAGUUAUUAUUUUCAAACCACGUAAUUUUUCUUUAUGGUAGCAGAGCGUGGUUCUGUAGAAAUAACAGAAGACUGAAGGAAGUGAUUAUACAACUGUUAAAAUUAAGUUAAGUAAUUUGGAAGUUAUAAAACUUCAUCUUCAAAAUGGGUUCAAAUUUGUCUAAUUUGGAAAAACUAGUCGGAAGAGAAAAUUUUACCACUUGGAAAUUCACUAUGAAAAUAUAUUUACAGCAUGAGGAUUUGUGGUGUUGUAUCGAACUGUCUGAUAACAAACCAAUUGAAGCAAGUAAGGAUGUAAAGGCCAAAGCCAAGUUGAUUCUACUUCUGGACCCUCAAAAUUAUGUUCAUGUUCAAGAUUGUUCAACUGAAAAAGAGGUAUGGGAAUGUUUAUAACAAGCUUUUGAUGAUAAAGGGCUCACGCGAAGAGUUGGCUUACUAAAAGACUCUAUAAAUACUAAAUACUACAUUGGAAUCUAGUAAUAGUGUUGAAGAAUAUGUGAGCAAGAUCAUGAAUACUGCUCACAAGCUGUGUAACAUUGAUUUUGACGUAAACGAUGAAUGGCUUGGUACUUUGAUGCUGGCAGGCUUACCAGAUGAAUACAAGCCCAUGAUUAUGGGGCUUGAGAGCUCAGGCAUUAAAAUAAGUGCUGAUUCAGUUAAGUCUAAGUUAUACUCAGCAAGUUAAAAACAGAGGACCAAGAUGCUAUAAUUGCAAUAAAUAUGGUCAUUUUGCUAAACUAUUUAAACAACCAAAGAAGUUAGCGAAUAAAGGAGAAGGUUCAAGUUUUGUAGCUGCUUUCCCAGUAACUGUUAAACAAAAUGUGAGUGAUAAAUGGCUAAUAGACUCAGGAGCAUCUUUGCACAUGACUUGCAGAGAUGACUGGUUGUAUAAUGUCACUGAGCCAACUGUGAAAAGUGUUACUGUGGCAAACAGAGAGCCAUUAAAUGUAAAAGGAGUUGGAUGUAUGGACAUUUAAAUAAAUCAGAAAGAUAAAAUACAAGAUAAAAAUGUACUGUUUGUUCCUGGUUUAGCUGCCAAUCUCCUUUCAGUCAGCACAAUCGUGAAGAAUGGGCAUAAUGUUAUAUUUUAUGACAAGGGAUGUGUCAUUCAGAAUGCUAAAGGAGAGGUAAUCUGUAAGGCAGUAUUAAAAAAAUAACCUAUAUGUUAUGAACAUAAGUGGAGAAGAGGUUCAUCUGAUUUCAAGUGCUGUGAAUUCUAAUGACACUUGGCAUCUGCGAAUGGGACACUUGAAUUUUUCAGAUAUUAAGAAACUGCCAAAUUGUGUUGAAGGUGUGUCUUUGACUUCAGACACAGGUAAUGUGAUCACAUGUAUUUAUUGUUGCGAGGGAAAACAUGCUCAGUUGCCAUUUAAAAAUGUAGGUUCAAGAGCAGUAAGACCACUUGUACUAAUACAUUCUGAUUUAUGUGGCCCUAUGGAAAAUAUUUCAUAUGGAGAUAAAAUGAGUGUACCUGAUACGUUCAAAGAUUUCAAGUCAAAAGUAGAGAAUGAAUUGAAUUGUAAAAUUAAAAAGUUACGAACAGAUAAUGGUAAAGAGUACUGUAAUAACAAUUUUGAGAAAUUUUUAACUAAUCAUGGUAUAAUUCAUUAGACAUCUCCGUACACUCCAGAGCACAAUGGCUUGGCAGAACGAAUGAACAGAACACUAGUGGAGCAAGCAAGGUGUAUGUUGUUUUAUGCCAACCUGGAGAAGAAACUAUGGGCUGAAGCUUUGGCAACUGCUGCGUAUAUUGUAAAUAGAUCUCCUACAAAGGCUUUGGAAGGUAAAACAUCUUAUGAACUGUGGAAAGGUAAAAAACCCAAUUUAUCUCAUUUAAAGAUUUUUUUUCUGUUGCUAUGGUACAUGUACUAAAAAAAAACUUCAAAAAUGGGAUAAAAAAUCUGAGGAAAUGUUGAUGGUAGGUUAUUGUGAAAAUUCCAAAGGAUAUUGAUUAAUAAAUCCUUUAACACAUAAAAUAGUAAAAAGUAGAGACAUAACUUUUAUUGAGAAGUAUACUGAAGAUAAUAAUAUACUUAUACCUUCCAAUGUUGAAGUUGCAGACAUGGAUGUACUGGGAUGUCAUCUGAUAUUCAAAAUCAGGAAAUACACGUCAUCAAGUAAGGAAUUGAAUGAACCUAUAAGUAGAAGCGAAGACUCACUUAGAAAGUUUUCUAUGAAACAGAAAACUCAAUUAUUUUAGUAACAACCCUUUAGCUAAUUAUGUAUUGAGUAUCUAUCAAUCAAAAAAAAAAAAAAAAUGUGAAAAACGAUUAGAUUAAGUUUGUUUUAUUAAAAGAUCCCCAGUUUAAUGCGCUUGAAAUUUCAAAGAUCCAAAAGAAUGGCCGCAUAUUACCGAUAUAUAAAAGAAAAUAGUUUUCACUCCAUAAUCUGAGACCAAAUGACAAGAAAUAUUUUAGGUAGUAAAUAUAAAAUCAAAUAAAUAAGACAAAAAAUCACUCACCAGUUCACAAAUGAGGAAAUUACCAUCUUGGUAGUUAAGAAUUUUCCGGGUAUCCAUUUUCACCACACAAUAUUGUAUUGAAACACGGAAAAUUCUUUUAAUGUUUAUUUUCAAUCCGUUUCACGAAAAUUUUGAAUUAAAAACUAUUUUCUAUCAAUAUACUGAAAAUUUCCAAAGUUUCCAUUAAAAAUUUUCAACAUUAGUCACAUUUUUAAAACUAGAAAUCGAAAUAUUUUUUUGUCGUUAUUAAACAGAUCCGGUAUCUCUGUAUUUUAUUUAUCUAAUAAUAACUAUUUUGUACUACAAUCGAAAUAAGGUAUUUUAAUAUUAAUAUCUAUAUAUAUUUUUAUAUGAAAAAACACAUUACAGUUGAAAAGAUUUGGCGUGAACAAUAAUUGCGUCGACUUACAAAGAUGGCCGAUAAGCUGUCUAGACAGACAAGGAUAAACGAACUUUUUGAUGCUAUAUUUUAGAUUAUCGUUUGUUUAAUGUUUAUAAGUAAAUCAAUAAUUCACACAAUUUCAAAUUAUCUGAAGAAAAUGCUUAAUUUCAAUUACUUUGAAAAUAUUAAAAAAAAAAUAAUAAAACCUUAGUAUUCCAUAAAAUGUAAUACACUGAAAUCGUUCAUUUUCCUGGAAAUUUUAAUUGGACAAAUCUCGUUAAUUUUUACAUAAAGAGAAUUAUAUCUUACCUAUAUCAAUAAGAAAAUAGUUUUCACUUCACAAUCGAAAACAAAAUUACACGAUAUUUUACGAAUAGAAAAUUUAGCAUCAAAUAUGUCUGCCCGAAUUUGUAAUACUGUCAAAGUUUCAUUAUCUAAAUAAUUAAACGCAUUGUUUAAAGCUUGUGACUUCAACAUUCACAGUGCGCAAGUCAAAAACAAGUCUAGACAUUCGCAAAGAAUUCGAAAUGGGUCAAUGAACUGAGAAGAUGUAAAGUUUUGAUUUAUUAAAUAAUAAGUAAUUAAAUAUUACAUAUUUUGUUAUAUGAUUUCCAUAUUGAAUAAAAUAGUGUUUUCAAAGAUAAAAUAAAUAAAGCAAUAUGAAGCAAGAUAUAUUUUUAAUAAUAUUUCUAAGAAAGUUUUAAAUAAUUAGUGAUAAUAGAUAUAAUACAUACAAUAAAAAAUGGCAUAGAUUUAAUUAUUACAAUUCACAAUAACUUAAUAUUAUUAAAUGACUAUAUAAGGAGAGUUUAUGGUAGUAGUAAUUUCCUUUUGGGAAUAGGUAUACUUUUAAUGUUUUACGACAUAACUUCGUUUUUCGAAUUAGUACUUUCAUUAGUUAUUAUAGGUACAUGAAAAUUUUUAUAUUAAUUAAGGAUUGUAGAAAUUGAAACCAUGUUACUGAAAUUUAUUCCAAGUUCCAAAAAAUAGCUGCAUAUGUAUAAAGUACAAAACAAAAUAUUUUUGUUAUCUUGAUAUGGAGAAUUCUGUGAUUUUAAUAUUUUCAGUUCCUAUAGUGUAGGGUGUUCCUCAUCCCCAAAUAUAUUUCCUAUAAAUAUCAAAAAUAAAUUCGAAAUGUGAAGUAAAUAAGAAAUUCUUCCGACAAAGAUGAAGUCGUCUAAAAAGGGGCUGCACGGUCAAUUUUCGUUAUCGGUAUUAAACCCUCAACAUGUAUAGUUAUUUUGGUAUUAUUACGAGUAUGUAUCUAGAAUAAUGUGAUUUUAAAAUUUCCCAUAUUUGGAGUGGUCCUCCUAUCCAAAUUAGACAAACAUUCACAAAGGAUUUUGCCGAACGUUAUUUCAUAUAUAUAAAAAAAAAUAUAUUCCAAAUGUUAGGUAAACAAGAAAUUCUUCGAACAAAGACAAAGGCAUCCAAGAAGGGUCUGAACGGUCAUUUUUUGUUAUCGGUAUUAAACCUUCGAUAUAAUGUAAACAAACUAUUCCACAAACUGAUAAAAAGUGUUCUAGAACUGCACCACACGUUUUGUUUUUCAAAUAUAUUAUACCUCUUGUAAAUUCUCGAUAACCAAUGUAGAAAAAUAAAUAGUCUACUUUCAACAACAAAAAAGGGUCUAAUAAUGGUUCUUAAAAGAUUUCUAACAUAAACAUACCAGAAUUAAAAUAUUUGGAACCCAGAAAUUUUUUUUGGUACAGUUUAUUCAAAAGUAAUGUUUUGUAGUUAUCGAACUUGGUGGGCUUUUAUAUUCUUUUUCCGAUUACUAUCAAUUUGCAUACGAGAUUCUUUAUAUACUUGUUAGAAUUUGCAUUUUGGAGAAUAAAUAUUGUGAUGUCGAGUAAAUAACACUCAACUUUGUUGAAAAUUCGUAAGAAAAUUAAAUUAUUAUUUUAGAAAAAUGCUUUAGUUAUUCUAUUAGAUUCUAAACAAAUGAAGGGGUGAUGACAAAAAGUUUAUUAAAUGAAGAGAUAAUUUCUAACAGUAACUGUUUCAUUGAAAAGUCAUAUUUUCUCCGUGUAUUUAUCUUACAGAAUGAUUUGAGAUUAUUUCUAUAUUGUUUUCAGUAAAUAAAAAGUGUGUACAAAUAAUUGAUUCCGCACUAAUACAAAAUGAUGAUGGUUAUUAAAAAAAUGAUCUCUAUUUCCUCCAAAAUGAACACACCCCUACUUUGUAACAUAGUUGCAAUAAUAUAAUCAACAAUUUUCUCCAAAUUGGAUUUGAAUGAAAGAAGAAUAUGCUUUAUUAAACCACUCAAAAGAUCUCCAGUUUGUGAAUCCUCGAAACUUGAUUAAUUAACAUAUUGUUUUUACAAGUUUAAACAAACUUAGAGUUUAACAAGAAAACAAUUAUAAAUUAGAGAAGAAUUUUUGAGACAUAUAUUAUUUUGGAGAGACGGUAAAAAUAUCAGCAUUUCCUCAAAAUUUGAUAAUCAAGCUUGCCAAAUAUGAUAGUGAACUAUUUUCUUUUGGUCAGCUCUGUACAAAAUGUAAAACGGUCCGAACCCAUAAUAUUUAUUACUUUAUUAUUUUGUUAUCUGUACAUUUUGAAUGGGUCUUAUUGGAAAAAUCCAUAUCUUUACUACCUACUACUACAGAAAUAAAACAUCUUGUUCACAGAUGUGAGAAUAUUUUUUCGAAAGGGCGUAAUGGCAUAAUUUUUAUAAAUUAUUAAUAUGAAAUAUAAACUAAUUUAUUUACAAAUUUUAACAAAAAUGAAUUUUGAUAUUGCCAUGUCUUGAUACUUGGACAACUUGUUUUAUAAUUUUGAAUAUACUCAAAAGAAAAAGAUAUUUCGAUUAAAUAUAGAUGAAACCUAAAUUCACCACUCUUCGAAUACAAAGUGUUCUUGUGUGAACAACAAUUAGAAGUUGAAUGCUGCGAUAUACAAGAAUUUUUGUUUCGAGAUUACUUCUAGUACAAAUAACAUCCAUUAUUUUCAACCAUUCCAAAAUUUCUCGUCGCCCUGUAAAUCUAAAUAACCGACAUAUUUUCUAAUUUAUUUUAAUAUCGUAUAACCAUUGUUACACUAUCAUUUUCUAACCUAUAUUUAUUUUCCACAAAUAAUUAUAUAUAAGUCAUAUUUCUAAACUGUUACUCCAUGUAUAAAUUAUUAUUAUUAUUAUAUGUAAAAAAAUCAAUCAAUAAAAUCGUAGCUUUCGAUAAAAU